AAAGGUACUCAAGGGCACUGUAGUGGAUGCCUAGACGUAUAUUACCGAUGAAGGACGUGGAAGACUGCGAUAAGCUUCGGGUAGCUGCCAACAAGCUAUGAUCCGGAGAUUUCCGAAUGGGAAAACCUAGCAUGAGGAAAGUCAUGUUGUCCUGCGCUGAAUACAUAGGCGUAGUGAACGGGAACCAUCUGAACUGAAACAUCUUAGUAGGAUGAGGAAAAGAAAGUAAAUAACGAUUCUCGGAGUAGUGGCGAGCGAAACGGGAAGAGCCCAAACCUUAUAAGUUUUUGCCUGUUCGCAGGCAAAUAAGCUGAUAGGCGAAUGCUUACAAGGGGUUGUGAUAUUACACACGACCAAGCCAGAGAACUUGAAUUCGUUCGAGGUAUCUGGUUUGCGACUACUGGCUAUCAACGGUAGGUGAGGUAAGAAAACAGCGUGGUUAGCAGAAUAGUUUGAAUGGCUAGCCAAAGAACGUGAAAGCCGUGUACGCAAAAACGACGCUGACCUUAUAUGUGUUUUAUCGAGUAGGACGGGGCACGAGAAACCCUGUUUGAAUCUGGCUGGACCACCAGCCAAGGCUAAAUAUAAUAUACGAUCGAUAGUGAACUAGUACAGCGAUGGAAAGGUGAAAAGAACCCCGGAAGGGGAGUGAAAUAGAUUCUGAAACUCAGUGCCUACAAGGAGUCGGAGCCCAGCUUGCUGGGUGACGGCGUGCUUUUUGUAGAACGAUCCAGCGAGUUAAUUUUUAGUGCAAGGUUAAGUCAGUUGACGGAGCCACAGUGAAAGCGAGCCUGAAUAGGGCGACAAGUACUAAGGAUUAGACCCGAAACCGGGUGACCUAACCAUGAGCAGGUUGAAGCCACUGUAACAGGUGGUGGAGGACCGAACCAGGAUACGCAGCAAAGUGUUUGGAUGACUUGUGGUUAGCGGUGAAAUGCCAAUCGAACUCGGAGAUAGCUGGUUCUCCUCGAAACAGUUUUAGGACUGGCGUCAUGUGGUAGCAGUCGGGGGUAGAGCUCUGUAAAGGACUGGGGGGAGCAAUCCUACCCACCCUUAACAAACUACGAAUACCGGCUGUGGAAUCAUGGCAGUUAGAACGGCGGAGCUAAGUUCGUCGCUCAAAAGGGAAACAGCCCAGACCAUCGUCUAAGGUCCCUAAAUUUACGUUAAGUGGGAAACAAGGUGAGAUUUCUUAAACAGCUAGGAUGUUGGCUUAGAAGCAGCCAUUCAUUUAAAGAGUGCGUAACAGCUCACUAGUCAAGAGAUCUUGCGUGGAAAAUGUAACGGGGCUAAACGUAAUACCGAAGACAUGGGUCUAUGCAUUAGCAUGGGCGGUAGAGGAGCGUUCCUAUCGGCAGUGAAGCAGCAUUGUAAAGUGCUGUGGAGCGGUAGGAAGUGAGAAUGCUGGAAUGAGUAACCAUAAGAGAGGUGAGAAUCCUCUCGGCCGUAAGAGCAAGGUUUCCUGAGCUAUGGUAAUCAUCUCAGGGUUAGUCGGGCCUAAGCCGAGGCGCAUAGCGUAGGCGAUGGACAUCAGGUUGAUAUUCCUGAACCGGCGUAGUUUGUACACUGUUCACGGAGAGAUAUUCGGAGCGGAUUCAUGGUUUAUCCGUCCAACCGAGCGGGAACGCAAAGGGAGUGAAAGUUACUCUACGGAGUGACGAUUCUGAAAAAGGCUCUGGCUAGAAAAGCAGGUGUACGCGUGGCUAUGUCCGCCCGUACCGCAAACCAACACAGGUGCUCGAGUCGAGUAGACUCAGGCUUACGAGAGAACCUUCGCUAAGGAACUCGGCAAUACAGCGACCGUAACUUCGGAAUAAGGUCUGCCCCCACUUCGGUGGAUAUGUUGUCGGUUUCAAAGCUAGCAGGUGUGGUUGAAGAGUAUCUUUAAUACAUCAAUUCUUCUUGAGAUAGAACCAAUAGCUUUUGGAACUGAAGCUCAACGCAUCUAACGAUGUGGGGGCCGCAGCAAAAGAGCCCACGGAACUGUUUAUCAAAAACACAGCUCUCUGCUAACACGAAAGUGGAUGUAUAGGGGGUGACUCCUGCCCGGUGCUGGAAGGUUAAGGGGAACGCUUUACGGUGUGAACUGAAGCCCCAGUGAACGGCGGCGGUAACUAUAACCGUCCUAAGGUAGCGAAAUUCCUUGUCAGGU
rnacentral:rRNA from 1 species